rnacentral:rRNA from 1 species
AUAGUCCUGUAUGUUAAACGAGAAGACUUUAGAUAUGAUCCAGAGUACCACGGGACACGUGAAACCCUGUGGGAAGCAGGAGGGACCACCCUCCAAGGCUAAAUACUACCUAGUGACCGAUAGCGUAUAGUACCGUGAGGGAAAGGUGAAAAGAACCCCGGGAGGGGAGUGAAAUAGAACCUGAAACCCUGCACUUACAAGCUGUGGAAGCACAUUUCUUGUGUGACCGCGUACUUUUUGUAGAACGGGCCAACGAGUUACGUUAAGUAGCAAGGUUAAGCACUUAAGGUGCGGAGCCGUAGCGAAAGCGAGUUUUAACUGAGCGUUCAGUUACUUGACGUAGACCCGAAACCGGGCGACCUACCCAUGAGCAGGAUGAAGCGAAAGUAAAAUUUCGUGGAGGUCCGAACCCACGAGCGUUGAAAAGCUCGGGGAUGACUUGUGGGUAGCGGUGAAAUUCCAAUCGAGCCCGGAGAUAGCUGGUUCUCCCCGAAAUAGCUUUAGGGCUAGCCUCAAGGUGAGAGAUACGGAGGUAGAGCACUGAAUGUCCUAGGGGGUAUUGCACCUACCGAAGACUAUCAAACUCCGAAUGCCGUCAUCUUAUACUUGGGAGUCAGACUGUGGGUGAUAAGAUUCAUAGUCGAAAGGGCAACAGCCCAGAUCGUCAGCUAAGGUCCCUAAAUGUAAGUUAAGUGGUAAAGGAUGUGGGAUUGCACAGACAACCAGGAUGUUGGCUUAGAAGCAGCCACUCAUUCAAAGAGUGCGUAAUAGCUCACUGGUCGAGUGAUCCUGCGCCGAAGAUUUCCGGGGCUAAAACUU